rnacentral:rRNA from 1 species
AUGGAUCCUGAGCUGGGAGAGGUCACAGAGGAAGAGGGGGGCGCCAUAGAUGUGAGGGCUGCGGUACCGAAGCAGAGGAGGAGGAGGCGCAGGCGCAGGCAGAUGGCGCGACGUGCUGCCGAGGAGGAACUGGAGGCAGAGUUCAACAGACGCCUUGUGCGCGAGAAAAUGUCACCCAGAAUCAGGAUUGUUGCUCCUAGUUCCGGUGUUCUGAAGAUGGAGACUUCAGAAAAAAAUGGGUAUCAGUUGAUGGAUGUUGCCUACCACAUCGACUUUGACGGUUGCAUCAACCUAACUACUGGGUGGAAGGAUUUUGUGGCAGAGUGUGGAUUUGAGGAUGGUGAUGUGGUUAUGACUGCACUCGCUAGGGUUCCUUUGCUGUUGAACGAGCGUUUGGCGACAGUGAUACUGGAUUGCGUGGCGGAUUUUGUGUUUGCUGUUAAUGACAGCCAUGGUGUUCAUGAGGACAUUGCUGAUGUUGUUAAAGAUAUUGAUGAUGGAAUGUAUUCUCUUAACGUUGAUGAUGGUGAUGGCAGCUUGCAGUUGUCUGUUACUCAGUCUCAAAGUGUUGAUGGCACUGAGCCUGUUACCCAGGCUGAGGAUGUUCCUAUGCACAAAGCUGAUGGUGAUAGUGUUGCUGUGAAAAUUGGUCCAAGCAAACUUGGUGGCUCCCCUGUUCGUCAGAGUCCACGAGGUUUGACAAAUAAGAAGCCUUCUUCGUCUCCUCUUCAAGAGCGGUCUUUGUUGAAAGAAAAUAAGAAGCGUAAAGUUCAUCCUGCAAAGGUGAACAAAGGUGUGAAGAAGCAUGCUCGUGUCGAAGCUGAAGAUGUUGUUUCUCAAGAAAAUGAUAUUGAAGUUGAUUCUGAAGAUGAAUUUGCAGUGCCUAUUAGCGUUAUGAGUCCGGUCAAGCCGGUGGGAGGCAAUGCCGGAAAAGUUGCCUUGGAUGAAGAUCUUGAUACAAUGACUCUUGACAUGGGUGAGGCUAAUAAGAAACUUCGCAUCACUAGCGAUGGUAUACAUCAAUUAUUUGGUUUCCCUCGUGGUGGUCGUUCUGCGCCAAGGCCGUCAGAGGACGGAUAUGACAACGCUCUAAUGAAGUUAAGAACGGAGCUUGACAUUAGUAGGAACAAAAGAAAUCAGUACAAAGGAUUUGAGGAAUAA